AACGAACGCUGGCGGCAGGCCUCAAACAUGCAAGUCUAGGGGGUGUAGCAAUACAUCACCGGCGGACGGGUGCGUAACGCGUGGGAAUAUACCUAUUGGUUCGGAACAACACAGGGAAGCUUGUGCUAAUACCGAAUGUGCCCUUACGGGGAAAGAUUUAUCGCCAAUGGAUUAGCCCGCGUCCGAUUAGCUAGUUGGUGAGGUAACGGCUCACCAAGGCUCCGAUCGGUAGCUGUUCUGAGAGGAAGAUCAGCCACACUGGGACUGAGACACGGCCCAGACUCCUACGGGAGGCAGCAGUUGGGAAUCUUGGACAAUGGGGGAAACCCUGAUCCAGCCAUGCCGCGUGAGUGAUGAAGGCCUUCGGGUUGUAAACUACUUUCGUACGGGGACGGAUAAUGACGGUACCCGUAGAAGAAGC
rnacentral:rRNA from 1 species